AAGUAUUUCUAUCUAAUUUCUUUCUAUCCAACAGCAUUACCAUCCUCUUCAAAAUCUCUGUCUCAGACGACUGCUCUUUGAUGAACUGAGGAUCUCAGAGAAGAGAGAAGUUGAAGGUUAUACUAUUUGCAUUUGAUCUGAAGAUGACAUAGAACUUCAGUUUGCAGCUGUAUCAUUCUUUUAAGACCUUAUGCCGUCAGAACCAAGACAUCUGUUCUCAUAUUUGAUGUCAAAAUGGCCCUAAGCCUCAUCUCCACAGGACCAGAUCGGCAGGCAUUAAAUUAUCAAAAAUCAGAUGGCUGA
rnacentral:lncRNA from 1 species